GAUGAACGCUGGCGGCGUGCCUAAUACAUGCAAGUCGAGCGAACAGACGAGGAGCUUGCUCCUCUGACGUUAGCGGCGGACGGGUGAGUAACACGUGGAUAACCUACCUAUAAGACUGGGAUAACUUCGGGAAACCGGAGCUAAUACCGGAUAAUAUAUUGAACCGCAUGGUUCAAUAGUGAAAGACGGUUUUGCUGUCACUUAUAGAUGGAUCCGCGCCGCAUUAGCUAGUUGGUAAGGUAACGGCUUACCAAGGCAACGAUGCGUAGCCGACCUGAGAGGGGGAUCGGCCACACGGGAACUGAGCCACGGUCCAGACUCCUACGGGAGGCAGCAGUAGGGAACCUUCCGCAAUGGGCGAAAGCCUGACGGAGCAACGCCGCGUGAGUGAUGAAGGUCUUCGGAUCGUAAAACUCUGUUAUUAGGGAAGAACAAAUGUGUAAGUAACUAUGCACGUCUUGACGGUACCUAAUCAGAAAGCCACGGCUAACUACGUG
rnacentral:rRNA from 1 species